rnacentral:rRNA from 1 species
GAGCAGGUGCGAAAGCAGGUCAUAGUGAUCCGGUGGUUCUGAAUGGAAGGGCCAUCGCUCAACGGAUAAAAGGUACUCCGGGGAUAACAGGCUGAUACCGCCCAAGAGUUCAUAUCGACGGCGGUGUUUGGCACCUCGAUGUCGGCUCAUCACAUCCUGGGGCUGAAGUAGGUCCCAAGGGUAUGGCUGUUCGCCAUUUAAAGUGGUACGCGAGCUGGGUUUAGAACGUCGUGAGACAGUUCGGUCCCUAUCUGCCGUGGGCGCUGGAGAACUGAGGGGGGCUGCUCCUAGUACGAGAGGACCGGAGUGGACGCAUCACUGGUGUUCGGGUUGUCAUGCCAAUGGCACUGCCCGGUAGCUAAAUGCGGAAGAGAUAAGUGCUGAAAGCAUCUAAGCACGAAACUUGCC